rnacentral:rRNA from 1 species
CCCUGCCAUUUGUACACACCGCCCGUCGCUACUACCGAUUGAAUGGUUUAGUGAGGUCUCGGGACUGGCAGUCGGGUGCUGGCAACAGCGCUCGACCGCCGGGAACUUGAACAAACUUGAUCAUUUAG